AGGCUCGUGGUGAAACGGUAUCACAGAGGUCUCCAAAACCUCUAUUCCCUGUUCGAAUCAGGGCGAGCCUG
rfam:Microgenomates (Curtissbacteria) bacterium GW2011_GWA1_40_16 TT84_C0009, whole genome shotgun sequence.